UCCUUCGGGAAAGAUAUAAAGUGGCGCACGGGUGAGUAACACGUAAGUAAUCUACCUUCGAGUGGGGAAUAACACCGAGAAAUCGGUGCUAAUACCGCAUAACGCAGCGGCACCUAAUGGUGACAGUUGUUAAAGGAGCAAUUCGCUUGAAGAGGAGCUUGCGGCAGAUUAGCUAGUUGGUAAGGUAAUGGCUUACCAAGGCUUCGAUCUGUAUCCGGUCUAAGAGGACGGUCGGACAUACUGACACUGAAUAACGGGUCAGACUCCUACGGGAGGCAGCAGUCGGGAAUUUUGGGCAAUGGGCGAAAGCCUGACCCAGCAACGCCGCGUGAAGGAUGAAGUAUUUCGGUAUGUAAACUUCGAAAGAAUGGGAAGAAACAAAUGACGGUACCAUUUAUAAGCUCCGGCUAACUACGUGCCAGCAGCCGCGGUAAUACGUAGGGAGCAAGCGUUGUUCGGAUUUACUGGGCGUAAAGGGCGCGUAGGCGGCAUAUUAAGUCAGCUGUGAAAUCUCCGAGCUUAACUCGGAACUGUCAGCUGAUACUGAUGUGCUAGAGUGCGGAAGGGGCAAUCGGAAUUCUUGGUGUAGCGAUGAAAUGCGUAGAUAUCAAGAGGAACACCUGAGGUGAAGACGGGUUGCUGGGCCGACACUGACGCUGAGUGCGCGAAAGCCAGGGGAGCAAACGGGAUUAGAUACCCCGGUAGUCCUGGCCCUUAACGAUGAAUACCUUGGUGUCUGGAAUCUCUAU
rnacentral:rRNA from 1 species